rnacentral:rRNA from 1 species
UGAGUUUGAUCAUGGCUCAGAACGAACGUUGGCGGUGUGCCUAAUACAUGCAAGUCGAGCGAGAAAACCGGGGCAACUCGGUGAGUACAGCGGCGGAAGGGUGCGUAAUACAUGGUUAACGUACCCCCCAGGUCGGGAUAACCCUCCGAAAGGUGGGCUAAUACCGGGUAAUGGCAGCGGGUGGCAUCAUUUGCUGCUUAAAGUCGUAAGACGCUGGGGGAGCGGACCAUGGCUAUCAGCUAGUUGGCGGGGUAACGGCCCACCAAGGCGAUGACGGGUAGCCGGACUGAGAGGUUGAACGGCCACACGGGAACUGAGACACGGUCCCGACAUCUACGGAUGGCAGCAGUAGGGAAUCUUGCACAAUGGGCGAAAGCCUGAUGCAGCGACACCGCGUGGGGGAUGAAGGCCUUCGGGUUGUAAACCCCUUUCAUGAGGGAAGAAUACUGACCUAACCUCAGGAAGAAGCACCGGCUAACUCCGUGCCAGCAGCUGCGGUAAUACGGAGAGUGCAAACGUUGUUCGGAUUCACUGGGCGUAAAGGGCACGUAGGCGGCUCGGCAAAUCGGUUGUGGAAUCUCGACGCUUACCGUCGAAACGGCAGCCGAAAAUACCGGGCUAGAGGGCGUGAGGGGUCACUGGAACUCCUGGUGAAGCGGUGAAAUGCGUAGAUAUCAGGAGGAACGCCGGAGGCGAAAGCGAGUGACUGGCGCGUUCCUGACGCUGAGGUGCGAAAGCUAGGGGAGCAAACAGGAUUAGAUACCCUGGUAGUCCUAGCCGUAAACGAUGGACACUGAGUGAAGGAGGGCUUGCCCUUCUUUGCUGCAGCUAACGCGUUAAGUGUCCCGCCUGGGGAGUACGGCCGCAAGGUUAAAACUCAAAGGAAUUGACGGGGGCUCGCACAAGCGGUGGAGCAUGUGGUUCAAUUCGAUGCAACGCGAAGAACCUUACCCGGGCUUGAAGUGGAGGUGGUAGGAGCUGGAAACAGCGACGACCCCGCAAGGGGAGCCUUCAUCAGGUG